rnacentral:lncRNA from 1 species
AGCGCCAGAAAUGCGCGCAAGCGCACACGGGCAGCUCCGUAAGCUUCAGGCCCACGCCGCGCAGGCGCGCUCCUGUUCGCUCGGCUGCGUGGGAGCGGAAUCCGGGAGCCCAGCCUGGACUUGAGGCAGGUCGGGAAGAUGCUGGGCACCAGCACUGCCUGCAGGGACAGAAGAAAAACUCUCUGAAGGAUUGUGCGGCAGUGGCUCGGCCCCGCGAGGUCACACACUCACUGAUUUGUGAGCAAAACGGAGACCAGUGUCUACUUUACGGUAACGACCCUCCCAGCAGGCCGCACCUUGACCUUCUGGACGUGGUGUCCCACAGUUUCGUUCACAAGGCAUUGGUGGAGCGCCGUGCCACUCUGGCAGCCAAGGAGCAUAAGCCACGGCUCAAGGCCCAGAGGUAGGACCAGCGGGACCAAACUGCAGGGUGCAAGGGGCAGCAGCGAGAGGCCCAGAAGAGGAAGAGCCUGGUGGACAUGAAGAGGGCACGGGCAGAGGCGAGGCCAACAGGGACAGUGAUGCUGAGGACCCUCGACUAACUGCGAACCGAAUUCCUGAAAAUGUAAUCAUCACUUCUUAAAAGCUGAUGUGGGCUGUUUGUAUCGCACAAGCAUUAUGGGAGACAACCAUUUUAUUGUGCAAAAGGAUGUUAUUUGGAAAUUCAGAAAGGACACAGAAAUAUGGCAGUCCUAUUGCCAGACCAUACGCAGAAGAUGAAAUCUUGACCUGGAAUGACCACGGAACCAAAGAUCUGGAAGCAAAGGACCGGGACACAACCAGAACUUGAAAGUCAGGCUUUUAUCAGAAGUGAGGGGGUCCCUCAUUGGGGAAAAUCCAGUGUUAAAAUUCCUUCCCCAUCUCACCAUAAAUAUUUAGAACCCCAUCAUAAAAGUUUAGAACUUCAUCAUAAACAGUUAAAACCUUACUAUAAAUGCUUGAAGCCUGCCAGUCAAAACCUGUCCCACCAGCAUUUCUAUGUGCCA